rnacentral:rRNA from 1 species
GAUGAACGCUGGCGGCGUGCCUAAUACAUGCAAGUCGAGCGAAUGGAUUAAGAGCUUGCUCUUAUGAAGUUAGCGGCGGACGGGUGAGUAACACGUGGGUAACCUGCCCAUAAGACUGGGAUAACUCCGGGAAACCGGGGCUAAUACCGGAUAACAUUUUGAACCGCAUGGUUUGAAAUGUAAAGGCGGCUUCGGCUGUCACUUCUGGAUGGACCCGCGUCGCAUUAGCUAGUUGGUGAGGUAACGGCUCACCAAGGCAACGAUGCGUAGCCGACCUGAGAGGGUGAUCGGCCACACUGGGACUGAGACACGGCCCAGACUCCUACGGGAGGCAGCAGUAGGGAAUCUUCCGCAAUGGACGAAAGUCUGACGGAGCAACGCCGCGUGAGUGAUGAAGGCUUUCGGGUCGUAAAACUCUGUUGUUAGGGAAGAACAAGUGCUAGUUGAAUAAGCUGGCACCUUGACGGUACCUAACCAGAAAGCCACGGCUAACUACGUGCCAGCCGCCGCCGUAA